GGCCGGAUGUCGCAAUGGUAGCGAGCUACUUUCCGGUGGUAGAGGUUCUGGGUUCGAGUCCCAGUUCGGUCG
rfam:Glomerella graminicola M1.001 genomic scaffold supercont1.22, whole genome shotgun sequence.